rnacentral:rRNA from 1 species
GACGAACGCUGGCGGCGUGCUUAACACAUGCAAGUCGAACGGUAAGGCCCUUCGGGGUACACGAGUGGCGAACGGGUGAGUAACACGUGGGUGAUCUGCCCUGCACUUCGGGAUAAGCCUGGGAAACUGGGUCUAAUACCGGAUAGGACCCUGGGAUGCAUGUCCUGGGGUGGAAAGCUUUUGCGGUGUGGGAUGGGCCCGCGGCCUAUCAGCUUGUUGGUGGGGUGAUGGCCUACCAAGGCGACGACGGGUAGCCGGCCUGAGAGGGUGACCGGCCACACUGGGACUGAGAUACGGCCCAGACUCCUAAGGGAGGCAGCAGGGGGGAAUAUUGCACAAGGGGCGCAAGCCUGAUGCAGCGACGCCGCGUGAGGGAUGACGGCCUUCGGGUUGUAAACCUCGUUCAGCACCGACGAAGCGCAAGUGACGGUAGGUGCAGAAGAAGGACCGGCCAACUACGUGCCAGCAGCCGCAGUAA